rnacentral:rRNA from 1 species
AUUGAACGCUGGCGGAAUGCUUUACACAUGCAAGUCGAGCGGCAGCGCGGGGCAACCUGGCGGCGAGCGGCGAACGGGUGAGUAAUACAUCGGAACGUGCCCAGACGUGGGGGAUAACUACUCGAAAGAGUGGCUAAUACCGCAUACGAUCUACGGAUGAAAGCGGGGGAUCGCAAGACCUCGCGCGUCUGGAGCGGCUGAUGGCAGAUUAGGUAGUUGGUGGGAUAAAAGCCUACCAAGCCAACGAUCUGUAGCUGGUCUGAGAGGAUGAUCAGCCACACUGGGACUGAGACACGGCCCAGACUCCUACGGGAGGCAGCAGUGGGGAAUUUUGGACAAUGGGCGAAAGCCUGAUCCAGCCAUUCCGCGUGCAGGAUGAAGGCCCUCGGGUUGUAAACUGCUUUGUACAGAACGAAAAAGACUCUGGCUAAUACCUGGAGUCCAUGACGGUACUGUAAGAAUAAGCACCGGCUAACUACGUGCCAGCAGCCG